UUAUCUCAUAAUUAAAAGUUAAUAAUUUUAUUUUUUUUAAAAUUUUUUUUUAAUAUUCAUAAUUUAGUAAGAUUAUAUAUUUUACUUAUUUUUUUUUAAGGAAAAACAACAAACUCAAUGUUCACUUAUGUUAUUUUGUUUAUCGCAACUUCACUUUCGGCGAAAACUCAAGUUCACCAAAAUAGCGUAAUUGAUUUCGUCCGAUUCUAUACUGAAAUCAAUGAAUAAAAAUAAAACUAAAAUAAUAAAAUAUUAACUCAUUACUCACAUCUUCGGUUUUUAUAUCAUUCGCUAUCUGCUAAACGAACAACAUAAUUAAAAAAAUUUCUAUUCUUUUUUGCUUUUACUCACUUUCUGUCAAACAAGCAGCAGAACUGAAAAACUUCAGUUUUCUUCAACUUUUACUCACUGUCUGCCAAACAAACAGCAAAACUGAAAAAAUUUCAGUUUCCUUCAACUUUUACUCAUUGUCUAUCAAACAAACAGUAGAAUUGAAAAUCUUCAAUUUUCUUCAACUUUUACUCACUGUCUGCCAAACAAACAGUAGAACUGAAAAUCUUCAGUUUUCUUCAACUUUUACUCACUGUCUGCCAAACAAACAACAAAACUGAAAAAACUUCAGUUUCCUUCAACUUUUACUCAUUGUCUAUCAAACAAACAGUAGAACUGAAGAAAAUAAAACUUUAGUUCCCUUCAAUUUUUUCUCAUUUUCCGCCAAACAAAAAACAAGACUCAGAAAAUUUUUGUCUAAACUUUACCAGCAAGACUAUAUCUUCUCAAUUUUAUCUUUCCACGAAUCUUUCUCACUCCCCUACUACUAAACACAAAAAUUUUAAUGGAAAAUUUUCAAAUAUAUCCCCUGUGGUUUAGCACUUCUCACUUUAUUACUUUAUGGUUUCAUUUUUCUCUUUCUCUCUGUUAACUCUCUGAUAAAUAUAUAGAAAAAAAAAAAGCUUUAGAUACCUCAUGUGGCUUAUUGAAUAUUCACUUUAGUAUCGCGUGGUUUACAAAAUUUUUUAUUUUGGUAUCUUAUAAUUUUAACUUUACCAUUGAUUUAACGAAAAAAAUUAAAGGAAGUGAUAAUAAAAAAGAGAAAAAUAAAAUAACAGAAUAAUAAAGUGAUACAGUUUAAAUCAUAAGAUACUGAAGUAAGAAAGCAUUGAACUACAGGGAUGACAUUCCAAGUUUGGGUUAGUUUUAUAUAGGUCCCUGCAAAUAUCACUACAAAGUUCAACUUUCAUAUAUUGUUCUUACAAAAGUCCUGAUGUUUUCAAAUAUAUUCCUCUGGUUUAUUAUCUUAGAGAACCAUUAAAGAACUAUUUAUAUUUUCAAUUACGCCAUCACAAAUAUGCCCCUCCAAAAACCAUAACAGUAAAAUAUAAGAGGAAAAAAAAUAUCAAAAACUAAACAGGAUUAAGUAUAUAUUUAACCUAGGUUAACUAAAUUUUUCUAACGGAUUCUAGCAGCAGGGACAUAUUUGAAAACAUCAAAAUUUUUACAGAAACAAUAUAUAAAAAGUUAAACUCUGUAGAAAUAAUAUAUUUAUAAUUCAUUAGGUUUGCGAGAGGAUCUAUAUGAAAUU
rnacentral:lncRNA from 1 species